rnacentral:rRNA from 1 species
UACAGAGGUGGCAAGCGUUGUUCGGAAUCACUGGGCGUAAAGGGCGCGUAGGCGGCUUUUCAAGUCGGGGGUGAAAGCCUGUGGCUCAACCACAGAAUUGCCUUCGAUACUGUUAGGCUUGAGACCGGAAGAGGUGAGUGGAACUGCGAGUGUAGAGGUGAAAUUCGUAGAUAUUCGCAAGAACACCAGUGGCGAAGGCGGCUCACUGGUCCGGUUCUGACGCUGAGGCGCGAAAGCGUGGGGAGCAAACAGG